GUGUCAGCCGCCGCGGUAAGACAGAGGUGGCAAGCGUUGUUCGGAAUUACUGGGCUUAAAGGGCGCGUAGGUGGUGAUAUAAGUCCGAGGUGGAAGACUGGGGCUUAACCUCAGAAUUGCCUUGGAUACUGUAUGACUUGAGUCAGCGAGGGGAUGGCGGAAUUCCAGGUGUAGCGGUGAAAUGCGUAGAUAUCUGGAGGAAGGCCGGUGGCGAAGGCGGCCAUCUGGCGCUGAACUGACACUGAGGCGCGAAAGCGUGGGGAGCAAACAGGAUUAGAAACCCCCGUAGUCC
rnacentral:rRNA from 1 species